rnacentral:rRNA from 1 species
AUUGAACGCUGGCGGCAGGCUUAACACAUGCAAGUCGAGCGGGGUGAUGGUGCUUGCACUAUCACUUAGCGGCGGACGGGUGAGUAAUGCUUAGGAAUCUGCCUAUUAGUGGGGGACAACAUCUCGAAAGGGAUGCUAAUACCGCAUACGUCCUACGGGAGAAAGCAGGGGAUCACUUGUGACCUUGCGCUAAUAGAUGAGCCUAAGUCGGAUUAGCUAGUCGGUGGGGUAAAGGCCUACCAAGGCGACGAUCUGUAGCGGGUCUGAGAGGAUGAGCCGCAACACUGGGGCUGAGACACGGCCCAGACUCCUACGGGAGGCAGCAGUGGGGAAUAUUGGACAAUGGGGGGAACCCUGAUCCAGCCAUGCCGCGUGUGUGAAGAAGGCCUUAUGGUUGUAAAGCACUUUAAGCGAGGAGGAGGCUCUUUUGGUUAAUACCCAAGAUGAGUGGACGUUACUCGCAGAAUAAGCACCGGCUAACUCUGUGCCAGCAGCCGCCGUAA